UUACGGCCAAAUCACGUUGAAAUAUCGGAUCCCAUACGAUCAGCGAAGCUAAGCAAUGUCAACCCUGGAUAGUACCUGGAUGGAUGACUACUUGAGAAUAUCAGGUGAUGUAAGC